AACACAAUACCCUCCGAGGCAGUUAAUAAUGAUAUGCCAAUCAAGUUCCGCCCAUUUCCGAUUCGUAAUUAUCUUAUCUUACAGGUAAGAAAGUCUUAUAAAUUUGUUCAACUAUAUCAGCGCUAGUGAUAGUCAAAGGAAGUCAGAUUUUUGAAACGGGAAGGCACCAAAUCUCAACACGCGACAUCUACAGGCCCGACGUAAAGUAAAGCUUAUUUAAUACCAUUAUCGAACAAGUCGACCAUUUUCAUCUGUUUUCAACGCGAACGUUGAAUUCAAUCAUCAUUUAUAUUCAUACAUUCCAUCACUUGCUGUGCCCAAAGGGAGUCAGUCGUAUCUAGUCAACAGUUCAUUUUUUUAUCACAUCUAAAUAUACAACUAUCCGUCGGGAAACAUUUGAGAAUAUUUAGUCAAGUAAAAAGCAAUCAUGUAUAUGAGUGAAGCCCAAAGCGUUCCAGUUGUACCAGAUGCAUCUCUUUAUCCACAUGUAUGUAUAUUCUCGUUUACUGUGCCCGAAUUUGAUCAUGCGUGUCGAUUAUUUUCCGACAGAAAUCACUAACACAUUUUUAUGAUUUGAUUCUAGCUUAUUUAACUUUAUGCGAUAUUCGUAUCGCUCUUAAGAAAUGUCUAAUUUUACACAUUUUAUCUCGAAGCUAAUAUCACUAAGAAAUGAAAACGAAUUAAAAAUUUUGAAACUACAA